CAGUCUUACCUGCGGACAAUCAGCUUUUUGAGUGUGAUUAUGUGGAUUGUGAGGAGUUUAAUCACCCUCAUGGUUUGCAUAUUUGUGCUCUUGGGUGUACUUGUCUGUGUGGUAGGUUAACAUCAAUUUCGGUCGGCAUAAAAUGAUUAGAGGAAUGUAGCUUUGAUCUCGUAUCGAAGUGUUAUAGCCCUCUGGGUAGAUGGUGACGAUUGGGGAUUAGGAGUUAGUCGAACGAAC
rnacentral:rRNA from 1 species